AAGACAUUCCUCAUAAUGACUGUGACAUGAAUGAUAGUACAGAUGCAGAAGAAAGUUCCCAAAAUUAUAUACGUAGAAGACAAAUUAGACUUGGUGGAGGUGAUAAGGGUCAGCAACAAAGAUCCUGAAAAAUGGAGAUGGGAAUUGGCGUUGGGAAGUGGCUGGUAAGUGUGCAAUGCAUCAAAAGUAAAAAAACAGUAAGUACUAUGUUAGGGUUAUUUUUUAAAAAGAAA